rnacentral:rRNA from 1 species
GACGAACGCUGGCGGCGUGCUUAACACAUGCAAGUCGAACGGAAAGGCCUGCUUUCCCUUGUGGAUUGCGGGUACUCGAGUGGCGAACGGGUGAGUAACACGUGAGUGAUCUGCCCCCAACUUGGGUAUAAGCCUGGGAAACUGGGUCUAAUUCCCGAUAGGACUGCAGGGUGGUGCCUGUGGUGGAAAACGAUUUUCUAGUGGUUGGGGAUGAGCUCGCGGCCUAUCAGCUUGUUGGUGGGGAAUGGCCUACCAAGGGGGGGAAGGGUAGCCGGCCUGAGAGGGUGGACGGCGACAUUGGGACUGAGAGACGGCCCAGACUCCGACGGGAGGCAGCAGUGGGGAAUAGUGGACGAUGGGCGGAAGCCUGGUGCAGCGACGCCGCGUGGGGGAUGACGGCCUUCGGGUGGUAAACUCCUCUCGACCGCGAGGAAGCCACCUGGUUGGAAGGGUGGUGACGGUAGUGGUAGAAGAAGCACCGGCUAACUACGUG